GCCAGACUCCUACGGGAGGCAGCAGUGGGGAAUAUUGCACAAUGGGGGAAACCCUGAUGCAGCGACGCCGCGUGAGUGAAGAAGUAUUUCGGUAUGUAAAGCUCUAUCAGCAGGGAAGAAAAUGACGGUACCUGAAGAAGAAGCCCCGGCUAACUACGUGCCAGCAGCCGCGGUAAUACGUAGGGGGCAAGCGUUAUCCGGAUUUACUGGGUGUAAAGGGGGCGCAGACGGCGAUGCAAGCCAGGAGUGAAAGCCCGGGGCCCAACCCCGGGACUGCUCUUGGAACUGCGUGGCUGGAGUGCAGGAGGGGCAGGCGGAAUUCCUGGUGUAGCGGUGAAAUGCGUAGAUAUCAGGAGGAACACCGGUGGCGAAGGCGGCCUGCUGGACUGCAACUGACGUUGAGGCCCGAAAGCGUGGGGAGCGAACAGGAUUAGAUACCCGUGUAC
rnacentral:rRNA from 1 species